rnacentral:rRNA from 1 species
UUUGUAAGACAAAAUCGUAACGCCAAGAGGGCCAGCGCAGACAAUACCUCACAAGGGUGUGAACAUGGUGAUAAGAUUGAUCUGAGAUGUCGAUGAGUGGAUGUCCAGGUCUCAGAGCCAUGCGAGUUCAGAGCUUAAGUCUUGAUCCGUGACAAGUGGUAUCAGAGCUAGCUCUAAAUCGUUCAAUCCACGCCAAGUGUAGAGGACAUAAUAAGGUGUUAAGCAAUCAGAUGGGGGAGAAUGUCAUAGGCUUGUGACAAGUAGUAUCAAAGCCAGCCCUAAAUCGUUCAAUCCAGCCAAGCAUCGAGGGAGGUAAGCAGGGUGGCCAACCUCUGUGAUGAGGGCAUCACGAGGUUAGGUGAGAGAGUAUCAUGAACUUAAGAAAGAGUCCUGAAUCCCACAUCGAACAUAAUAAAAGGGUCACCGGGGUAUAAAAGGGUUCACACCACCUCAACUUUGUGAGGCACUUUUUGUAGGAUAAAACCGUGAGGCCAGGGGGGCCAGAGCGGACAAUAUCUCACAAGGGUAUGAACCAUGGCAGGAAGGCUAAUUGGGAUGUCGAAUGAGUGUAUGCUUUGGUCCCAGAGCCAUGCAGGUUCAGAGCUUAAGUCUCGACCCGUGCUGAUGAUGCGCUCCUAGACUUGAUUACCCGGGUCGUUCCACCAGCGCUGUUACUUUGAAAAAAUUAGAGUGCUCAAAGCAGGGCUACACUUGUAUACCUUAGCAUGGGAUAACAUCAUAGGAUUUUGGUCCUAUUGUGUUGGCCUCCAGGAUCAAAGUAAUGAUUAAUAGGGACAAUCAGAGGCAUUCUUAUUUCAUAGUUAGAGGUGAAAUUUUUGGAUUUAUGAAAGACGAAUAACUACAAAAGCAUUUGCCAAGGAUGUUUUCAUUAAUCAAUAAAAGUUAGGGGCUCGAAGAUGAUCAGAUACCAUCCUAGUCUCAACCAUAAAUGAUGCCGACUAGGGAUCGACGGAUGUUACUUUUAGGACUCCGCCAGCACCUUAUGAGAAAUCAAAGUCUUUAGGUUUUGGGGGGAGUAUGGUCGUAAGGUUGAAACUUAAAGAAAUUGAAGGAAGGGCACCACCAAGAGUGGAGCUUGCGGCUUAAUUUGACUCAACAUGGGGAAACUUACUAGGUCCAGACAUAGUAAGGAUUGACAGACUAAAAGCUUUUUUUGAUUCUAUGGUGGGCGUGCAAGGUCGUUCUUAGUUGGUGGAAUGAUUUGUCUAGUAAAUUUCAUUAACGAACAAGACUUUAGCCUACUAACUAGCUAUGCGGAGGUUAUCCCUUAUGGCUAGCUUCUUAGAGGGACUAUGGCCACUUAGGCCAAUGAAGUUUGAGGCAAUAACAAGUCUGUGAUGCCUUUAGAUGUUCUGGGUCACACGAACGCUACAUUGAUGCAUUCAAUGAGACAAGCCCAAGUAAUCUUCGAAAUUUCAUCGUGAUAGGGAUAGAUCAUUGCAAUUGUUGGUCUUCAAUGAGAAAUUCCUAGUAAAUGCGAGUCAUCAGCUCACGUUGACUACGUCCCUACCCUUUGUACACACCGCUCGUCGGCUCCUACCGAUUGAAUGGUCUGGUGAAGUGUUUGGAUCGUGGUGACAUGGAUGGUUUGUCACCCAUGACGUCACGAGAAGUCCACUGAACCUUAUCAAUUAGAGGAAGGAAAAGUCGUAACAAGGUUUUCAUAGGUGAACCUAUGGAAA